GUGCAGCAGGCGCGAAAACUUUACAAUGUGCGAAAGCACGAUAAGGGAACUCUGAGUGCCUCCUAAGGAGGCUGUUCAGGUGUCUAAAAGCACCUGAAGGAAGGGCUGGGUAAGACCGGUGCCAGCCGCCGCGGUAACACCGGCAGCCCAAGUGGUAGCCACGUUUAUUGGGUCUAAAGCGUCCGUGGCCGGCUGGGUAAGUUCCUUGGGAAAUUUGGCUGCUUAACAGUCAAGCUUUCAGGGAAUACUGCCCGGCUUGGGGACCGGGAGAGGUCAGAGGUACUCCAGGGGUAGGGGUGAAAUCCAUUAAUCCUUGGGGGACCACCGGUAGCGAAGGCGUCUGACCAGACCGGGUCCGACGGUGAGGGACGAAGGCUAGGGGCGCGAACCGGAUUAGAUACCCCUGUAGUCCCUA
rnacentral:rRNA from 1 species